rnacentral:rRNA from 1 species
GAUGAACGCUAGCGGCAGGCUUAACACAUGCAAGUCGAGGGGUAUAGUUCUUCGGAGCUAGAGACCGGCGCACGGGUGCGUAACGCGUAUGCAAUCUACCUUUUGCAGAGGGAUAGCCCAGAGAAAUUUGGAUUAAUACCUCAUGGUAUGUGAGAAUGGCAUCAUUCUCACAUUAAAGUCACAACGGCAAAAGAUGAGCAUGCGUCCAAUUAGCUAGUUGGUAAGGUAACGGCUUACCAAGGCAACGAUGGGUAGGGGUCCUGAGAGGGAGAUCCCCCACACUGGUACUGAGACACGGACCAGACUCCUACGGGAGGCAGCAGUGAGGAAUAUUGGACAAUGGGCGCAAGCCUAAUCCAGCCAUGCCGCGUGCGGGAUGACGGUCCUAUGGAUUGUAAACUGCUUUUGUACAGGAAGAAACACUGGUUCGUGAACCAGCUUGACGGUACUGUAAGAAUAAGGAUCGGCUAACUCCGUGCCAGCCGCCGCAGUAACAC